UGGGGAAUUUUGGACAAUGGGGGAAACCCUGAUCCAGCCAUCCCGCGUGUGCGAUGAAGGCCUUCGGGUUGUAAAGCACUUUUGGCAGGAAAGAAACGUCAUGGGUUAAUACCCCGUGAAACUGACGGUACCUGCAGAAUAAGCACCGGCUAUCUACGUGCCAGCAGCCGCGGUAAUACGUAGGGUGCAAGCGUUAAUCGGAAUUACUGGGCGUAAAGCGUGCGCAGGCGGUUCGGAAAGAAAGAUGUGAAAUCCCAGAGCUCAACUUUGGAACUGCAUUUUUAACUACCGGGCUAGAGUGUGUCAGAGGGAGGUGGAAUUCCGCGUGUAGCAGUGAAAUGCGUAGAUAUGCGGAGGAACACCGAUGGCGAAGGCAGCCUCCUGGGAUAACACUGACGCUCAUGCACGAAAGCGUGGGGAGCAAACAGG
rnacentral:rRNA from 1 species